rnacentral:lncRNA from 1 species
UUAUUGCAAUCACUUAAUAUGAUAAGAAAAUCAGCCCCGAAUGGUCCAAAGUGGUGAGCAAAAAUCAACAAAAGAAUCGAGCAUUCACCCGACUAGAGAGGAUGACAGCAAAAUCAUCCCUAAAAUCACUUGUAAAAUUAAAAUUGCAUGCAUAAGCAAGACUAAAAAACAUGCUAUAAGAGCAGACAAUAACUUCUAAAACUGAAGACUUAUUAAACAAUGGGAAAACAAAAAAAAAUAUAAAACUUAAGACAACAUAAGUUCAAAUCGACUCGAGAAAUCAUUUAUUAUUCUAAAAUACUCUCAAAACAGAAAUAGAUUAAGAAGCUGAUGAAGAGCCACCCACUUUCCAAGAAAAACUACUGGUGGCCGGUGGAGUUUUAGCAAACGACAAGCACCGUCAUUUGUCCAUCACAACUUGUGAAAACAACAAAAAUACCCACAAAAUAAAUCUGCAAAUAGAAAU